CCUACGGGGUGCUGCAGUAGGGAAUAUUGCUCAAUGGGGGAAACCCUGAAGCAGCAACGCCGCGUGGAGGAUGAAGGUUUUCGGAUUGUAAACUCCUUUUGUUAGAGAAGAUAAUGACGGUAUCUAACGAAUAAGCACCGGCCAACUCCGUGCCAGCAGCCGCGGUAAUACGGAGGGUGCAAGCGUUACUCGGAAUCACUGGGCGUAAAGAGCGCGUAGGCGGGAUAGCAAGUCAGAUGUGAAAUCCUAGGGCUUAACCAUAGAACUGCAUUUGAGACUGUUAUUCUAGAGUAUGGGAGAGGGAGGUGGAAUUCUUGGUGUAGGGGUAAAAUCCGUAGAGAUCAAGAGGAAUACUCAUUGCGAAGGCGACCUGCUAGAACAUAACUGACGCUGAGGCGCGAAAGCGUGGGGAGCAAACAGGACUAGAUACCCGGGUAGUC
rnacentral:rRNA from 1 species